CAAAGGGAAGCGAGACGGUGACGUUUAGCAAAUCCCAGAAAUAACGUCCCAGUUCGGAUUGUAGUCUGCAACCCGACUACAUGAAGCUGGAAUCGCUAGUAAUCGCGAAUUAGAAUGUCGCGGUGAAUACGUUCCCGGGUCUUGUACACACCGCCCGUCACACCAUGGGAGUCGGGAGUGCCUGAAGUUCGUGACCGUCACAGGAGCGACCUAAGGCAAGACCGAUGACUGGGGCUAAGUCGUAACAAGGUAGC
rnacentral:rRNA from 1 species